rnacentral:rRNA from 1 species
UUUCCGUAGGUGAACCUGCGGAAGGAUCAUUAUUGAAAUUUAUU